rnacentral:ncRNA from 2 species
AGCGACAACUUCGGGAGCUCACACCAGAUGGUGGGCUGAGAGGGCGGAGUGCCGGUCCGACGGGGCCGCGGGUCCGCCGACCGACCGAACCUGACCGGGUAAUGCCGGCGUAGGGAGGUUUAUCGCCCAUGAC